rnacentral:lncRNA from 1 species
GAACAAAGGAAUUUGAAUUCAAUUUUCAUUUUGAAAAGUGUUUGAAAAUUUUGUUUGGAAAAAAAUAAAAAGAAAAAAGCUUUCUCUUUCUCCUUUCCCUCUAUUCGGCCUUUUGGCCCAAAACCCGCGGCCCAGCUGUCUCCCUCUUCCCCCUUUCCCCUCUCUCUCUCUCUCUCGCGGCUGACGGGUGGGGCCCACCCGUCAGGUCCAUCUUCUUCCCAAAACCGCCGCCCGCUUCUCUCUCUCUGCUGAACUGCCAAGCCGAAGCGCCCGCUCCCACGUUCUCCCCUCCUCGCGCCUCGGCUUCAAGUUGGAGAGCCCCUGCGCGCCCGAGCUUUCUUCCCCCUCCCAAUUUUCUUCUCUCCCUGCCUCUGCUCCUCUUGGCUUGCGCAGAAAACUGCCGCCGGCGACCUCCGCGCGAAGCCGCCGUUCCGAACCGUCCUCGCCGUUUUCGUCACGCCAGUGAGCUUCCUCUCCCUCCC